CUACGGAGGGGGUUAGCGUUGUUCGGAAUUACUGGGCGUAAAGCGUACGUAGGCGGACUGGAAAGUUGGGGGUGAAAUCCCGGGGCUCAACCCCGGAACUGCCUCCAAAACUUCCAAUCUAGAGAUCGAGAGAGGUGAGUGGAAUUCCAAGUGUAGAGGUGAAAUUCGUAGAUAUUUGGAGGAACACCAGUGGCGAAGGCGGCUCACUGGCUCGAUACUGACGCUGAGGUACGAAAGCGUGGGGAGCAAACAGGAUUAGAAACCCUAGUAGUCC
rnacentral:rRNA from 1 species